rnacentral:lncRNA from 1 species
AGGCUCGGCGUUGGCCUCCGCGGCCCGUGCGAGUGCGCCCUUCUCGGGUCCCCUAGGUCGCGGGGCAGCCGGGGCGGAAGGGGCUUGUUCAUUAUUUUGAGAGUUUGUUGUGAACGUCAUAACCUUUCGUCCUUAAAUAUUGCCGAUACUUGACCUACGCAAGAGACAAUGUCAUGUGAUUCAGCCUAAUAUCUCAGAGGAUGCAGCAUUCAAGGUUCUAUCUUGGAAGCAGAGACUGUGCCCUCACCAGAUGCUGAACCUGCUGAGCACCCUGAUCUUCCACUUCACCUUCAUCAGAACUACUGGGGCUGUGGCUGAGAUGUCACAUGGCAGAUAGGAUCACAAAUUUCUGUUGUAUCUGGAUGGAGAUCAGCAGGAGGAUCUAUGGACUGCUGUGAUUGCACCUGCCAUCUUAUGCAGAAAUGACCUGAAGACAGACUGAAACAACGUGUUCUACAGCCUGAAAAUAUCUACCUUGACUUACAGUUUUAUUAAUGCUGGUGUGAUCAGACUGGACAAAAAUUAGCAUAUGUUAUUAACUGAUCUAAUUCAAGUGCCAAUUCUUAAUAGAAACACAAAACAAUAAAAGCAAUUCAGAAAAUA